rnacentral:lncRNA from 1 species
AAAGUAUGGCUGUUGGGCUUGAAUGUCUCCCUUUCUAGAACUCUCUUGUAGAAUGCAAUGGAAUUCCUUGGGUUAUUAGAAUGGGCAUAGCCUUUAAUCGUGGUAUUUACAGUGAAUGAGUCCGGCUUGCAGGGCAAUCUGUGGUAUUUGCUCCUGAAUGUUUCUCUGUCUUUAAAUCCUAUGCCCACUCGAGUACAUUGCCUUAUUUUGGAUGAAAGAUUGUAGCCUUUCAUUAUCAGGUGUUUUUUAUAUCUAUUUUGCAGUACUUUCUUACACUAUUAAGCUACACUCAUGGGGUGAGCACAUGUCUAAUUAAAAAAAAAU